rnacentral:rRNA from 1 species
AGUGGCGAACGGGUGAGUAAUAUAUCGGAACGUGCCCAGUCGUGGGGGAUAACGUAGCGAAAGUUACGCUAAUACCGCAUACGAUCUACGGAUGAAAGCGGGGGACCGUAAGGCCUCGCGCGAUUGGAGCGGCCGAUAUCAGAUUAGGUAGUUGGUGGGGUAAAGGCUUACCAAGCCAACGAUCUGUAGCUGGUCUGAGAGGACGACCAGCCACACUGGAACUGAGACACGGUCCAGACUCCUACGGGAGGCAGCAGUGGGGAAUUUUGGACAAUGGACGCAAGUCUGAUCCAGCCAUUCCGCGUGCAGGAUGAAGGCCCUUGGGUUGUAAACUGCUUUUGUACGGAACGAAAAGGUUUCCAUUAAUACUGGGAGCUCAUGACGGUACCGUAAGAAUAAGCACCGGCUAACUACGUGCCAGCAGCCGCGGUAAUACGUAGGGUGCAAGCGUUAAUCGGAAUUACUGGGCGUAAAGCGUGCGCAGGCGGUUAUGUAAGACAGAGGUGAAAUCCCCGGGCUCAACCUGGGAACUGCCUUUGUGACUGCAUAGCUAGAGUACGGUAGAGGGGGAUGGAAUUCCGCGUGUAGCAGUGAAAUGCGUAGAUAUGCGGAGGAACACCGAUGGCGAAGGCAAUCCCCUGGACCUGUACUGACGCUCAUGCACGAAAGCGUGGGGAGCAAACAGGAUUAGAUACCCUGG